CUUUCCCGAGCCCGGCCCGGAACCCGCCUCUCUCCGGGACCUUGACCUCGCGCGGACCUCGUCGUCUCGCUUAGCUCUCCCUGACCUGCUUUUGAACCCGCUAAUCCCGUCCCGAACUCUCGCCCCGCGGCAAUCCCUCGCCCAGGCCCUGGCGCGCUAAUUCCCGCUGACCCCGCCGCCCCGCCGCCUCUCCCGGCUCGCGUGGCUGUGACCGGGAUGAGGGCUUCUCGCCUCUGAGUGCGGGUGUGAUCUGGUGCUUAGGCCCCGACUGCCAGGCAUCGCCCCCAGCCCGCACUCGCAGCCCCAAGCAAACCGUCUCUUGCCUGGAACAUCCUGCCCUUCUCUUGCUUCCUCUUGUUUCCCUAGCGUAAUUAGUGUAUUUCUUUAAGAAACCCAUCGGACUCACAAAGAUCAAAGUCUUCCGUAAGACACACUAAGCUGGCGACGCUGCGGGUAAGCGAGCACUCUCCCACAAGGCUGGCGCGCAAUGAGGGUGUAAGGAAAGGUAAGCAGGAUACCCGCCGCCAGGAUCCGGCGCCAGGCGCGGGUGAGGCGAGCAGGAAGGAAGAACCGCGGACAGGG
rfam:Callithrix jacchus chromosome 14, whole genome shotgun sequence